rnacentral:pre_miRNA from 1 species
CGCCGUGGUGGCCGAGGAUGCAAGGCGUGGGGGAGCUGGCCAAGGCGUGCACCACCAUCAUCUGGAUCGGGUCGGCGCUGCACGCGGCG